rnacentral:rRNA from 1 species
GACGAACCGAGCGAACGUUGUUCGGAAUCACUGGGCUUAAAGGGCGCGUAGGCGGGCUGUCAAGUCUGGGGUGAAAUCCCGCGGCUCAACCGUGGAACUGCCUCAGAUACUGACGGCCUCGAGGGAGGUAGGGGCGAGCGGAACGGGUGGUGGAGCGGUGAAAUGCGUUGAUAUCACUCGGAACUCCGGUGGCGAAGGCGGCUCGCUGGACCUCUUCUGACGCUGAGGCGCGAAAGCUAGGGGAGCAAACGGG